rnacentral:rRNA from 1 species
UACAGAGGGGGCAAGCGUUGUUCGGAAUUACUGGGCGUAAAGGGCGCGUAGGCGGCCUGUUAAGUCGAACGUGAAAUCUCCGGGCUUAACUCGGAGCGGCCAAGUGAUACUGUCGUGCUAGAGUGCGGAAGGGGCAACUGGAAUUCUCGGUGUAGCGGUGAAAUGCGUAGAUAUCGAGAGGAACACCUGCGGCGAAGGCGGGUUGCUGGGCCGACACUGACGCUGAGGCGCGAAAGCUAGGGGAGCGAACAGG